UCAAACUUGGUCAUUUAGAGGAAGUAAAAGUCGUAACAAGGUUUCCGUAGGUGAACCUGCGGAAGGAUCAUUACCGGUUUUGCCAGAGUACGGUGCUACACCUACUUCUGGUAGCCAUGAUCAACCCUUUGUGCACGCAUAGAUUUCUGGGCUUUGGCAGAGGUAAGAGUCUGCCAGAGUUCUCCAACAAACCUGUCUCAUUCUUUGACUGAUUAUACCUUUUACAAUAAAAACAACUUUCAACAACGGAUCUCUUGGCUCUCGCAUCGAUGAAGAACGCAGC
rnacentral:misc_RNA from 1 species